CCUGCUAUCAAAGUAACAGAAAACAAGUGUUGGAGAGGAUGCGAGGAAACGGGAGCCUCGGGCACCACUGGUGGGAACGUGAACUGGUGUAGCCAGUGUGGAAAGUAGCCUGGGGAUUCCUCGCAGAUUAAAGAUAGCAUUACCCACGACCCAGCAAUCCCACAUCCGGGCAUCCACUCCAAGGAGGUGAGAGCAGGGUCUUUGUGAGAUGUUCGCACCCUCAUGUUCAGAGCACCGUCAUCCCCACCAGCUGAACUGCAGAAGCAACACUGACGGACCAACGGCUGAGCAAGGGAAUUCCAUCUAAAACCAGAAGUGUCAGGAACCCCAAGUGACAUCCUGGUUGGUCUCGCAGUCACAGCCAGCUCAGCGAACACCUGGCCAGAGCGCAGCUCCUCUGUGGGUGCUCACCCCGAGUGUAGCAUCAUGAGAGAGUAAUAAACCGCGCACAACACACUCCACAGAAGCAGGACCGCAGGGACACCUGGCUACCUCCGCUGGAAGAGUGUGCAACUCUGGACCUUGGGAUUUUACUGAUCCAGCACUGUCCGCACACCGAACACUCAGUGGUGCGUCAGCGAAGCCUGGUCUCUGAGUGCUUGCCUUCCGGGAGGACAGAGACCACAGACAAGCUAUGGGCCCAGGAGCUGCCCCCUGUGCCGCCGACACGGAUCCCACUGGGGGUCCCUGUGCGCCCUGGGACUGCUGCCCUGCACCCUCUUCUUUCCCCAGGUCUCCUCAUUCAGGCAAAAGACCGGAAGGUAAGCAUCCUGCGAUGGAAACUCAGACUUGCCCCAAGCAGUGACAGCAGCUUGGGCAAAGAGCU